rnacentral:lncRNA from 1 species
UACCCUUACAGAUUCUUCACCCCUCAGUGAAGGGUGGCUCUGAGGCUGUGGGCUGCCUGGCUUUGUCACUGGGGACACAUGGCUUCCCCCCUGCCCACUUCGGCACUGGAGAAUGAGGGUGACCUGCCUCCAAAAUGCCAUAAACCUGUUGCAAAAAUAUUAAGAGGAGUUGGAAUACCAAGCUAAAAUUGAAGGAAUAUUUUCAUUCCAAACCCAACCGCUUGGUCAAGUGGUUUCAUCAGCAAGUUUAAUUUUUGGCUUUAGGAUUCUGGCAAGUAAACCUCUGAAAAUGUAUUUCUUUGGAAAUGGAGCUAAUAAAUUUCAUUUUCUCCCUUUCCCCACCAAUAUGGUGAUGUGAUGGCUAAAUGCUUUUAAGAUCCCUGGGGAAAGAGGUGCUAAGUACUGAUGAAAAUACCAAUAACUUAUGGUAAGCUUGGUUUUCAGGUUAAAAGCUGGCAGGAUAUUAAAUUUUUUAUACAUGUUUGUUUUUAAACCCUUACCUUCCAUCUUAGAAUUAAUACAGUGUAUUGGUUCUUAGGCAGAAAAGGGUUAGGCAACUGGGGCUAAGUGACUUGCCCAGGUCACAUAGCUAUAAAGUGUCGGGAGUUAUAUUUGAACCCAGGACCUCCUGUCUCCAGGCCUGGCCUUCUAGCCACCUCCUUACCCUCCUUCUACCUGUUUUCAAUGGACUUAACUGCCAUAAAAUCCAGUGUUUUCUUCCCUUUAAAAAUGAAAGCCUCAGUUAUAUUAUUUUCAUAUUUCACCCACUAAGACCGGAGCUUUUGCACCACUAGAGGCUCAAGGCCUCUUGGGCGGGCAGCGAAUCCCGCUGUUGAGGGUCCAGGUUUCCUCCUGGUCCCACGAAGUCUCUCACUGGGACUUUGAACAAAAGGUCGCUGGGUGGGGCGAGGUCCGGGGCAGAGCUCCCGAUGACUCACUGGCCUUGCCCACGACUCCCUCCUGCAUCCCGGUAGGGCUGUGGGCGUCUGCGACCGGCUGGGCCUGUUUUCUCCUACACCCAGUAAUAGACAUGAUAAGCCACAGCUGGGCCUGGGAGUAUUUCCGGGGUCAGGGAGCGUCUGUGUCCCCUUUGGGCAGGAUCAUGCCGCAGGGCGCGCUCUACAACCAAUUUUUUCUACUUUAGAAGUGGAGGCCUGUAAACGCGAGCCUCCAGGGCUUUGCCUCCCACCGCGAAGGUCUCUUCUUCGAUGGGCCUCAGGCCAGGAGGUGGCAGUUACUACUGGAACUCGGGUUUCCAAAGCUGGGAGGGUCCCCGCAGGGCCCUGUGCCCUUUCUCAGGGCACACACGUGUGUGUCUGCGGGAGGGAGAAUCACUGGCGCUAAGUUAUAAGAAAAAGGAAGAUCCUGGAAGGAUCAACAAAGAUCUCCCCUGGUGGAGGGGGCAAUGAUAAUGGACAACAUGCAGAAGGCAAAAUUACUCAAUACUAAUUUUCUGUUUUCUCUACUAAAGAAAAUGACUUUCAGAUUCACAAAAACAGAACAAUAGUUAAAAGGGUGUUGAAACUGUGAAGAGAUAGUGGAGAGCAUUUAAGUUACUGGGAGCAUUGGCAUUUCCUCCUAGGACACUCAAUGGAAUGCAGAUGUAGAUUGCUAAGACAUCGAUUUUUAAGAUGGUGCCACACAGGAUGCAAGAAGGAUAAAUGUUCUGAUUUCCAAAAAGGAGAAGUCUUCAAACUAUAGGACAGGAUAAUUCAUUCCUGACAAAAAGAUCAUACAUGUCCAAGAAGAUCAGAUUGUUCCUGGAAGGGAACUUAGAAGUUCAACUCCUAAUCUUACAGAUAAUGAAAACUGAGGCCCAGAGGCUGACUGACUUACCCAGUGCAGACAGGUGAUAAGUGGCAGCACCAAGGUUUGAACCCAUGCAUUCAAAUUGAGAACUUCUGCAACUGCGCCAUACUAGCCUGAGAAUGGUCAGUAUUUCUAAGUAUCUAGUAAACUAUAAGCAUUUACUAUGUGCCAGGCACUGGGCAAAACCCUAGGGAUCCAAAGAAAAGCAAAAGACAGCCUCUGCUUUCAAGGAGCUCACAGCUACAGGUGAGGACCAGUCAACAGGGGUUGUCUUUGUAUGCCAAACAUUUAGCGCAGUACCUUCUCACAUGCUUGAUCCAUGCUUAUUUAAUUGAAUUAUAUCAAAUUUAUAAAGGCUGCAAUCAUCAAGAGCUAGUAUGACUUUAUCAAGAGCUAGUUUUUCCAGACUAUACCUUUUUUUUUUUAAGCCAGGUUACUCUAGGACAGUGAUAGCAAACCUUUUAGAGAUCCAGUGUCAUGCCCCACCCCUGCUUUACCUUACAAAGGGGAGGGAGGAAGUGCUCCCAUUGGGCUG